GUCACCACGCCAUUAGUACGGCCACGCAGCGACACCAUGGAGCGGUAUCAGCAGACUGUUAUGCGUAGAAACUGCAUGCUCAUUAGAUCGUAGCAAAAGGCAACUUCUCUUCGACUGUGUCCGCUGGCGGAAAUAGUGAAAAUGUUUACCAAAAGCAACCGCGAUAUUCGUUUCUCAAGUGUAGCCAACGGUGAAGACAAUGACAACAAGUGCAGCGAGUAUCAGUUUUCAAAAUGUGAAACCAAACUGAAAAAAUACAAAGUGACAAGUUCCGAUGUCUACCCAUCGGGCGAAUGCGUGAUUAACGACGAGAGUAUUCAAGUGAACAAUAGCAACAAUAGUGCACAUUGCCACGGAUAUUUUCUAUAACGUUUGCUCCUCUAACGAAGCAUAGGCGUAGUUGAGUUUAAUGAGUUGUACAUAGUGUGGGGAAAGUGAAAUCUAACUUAUGUAGAUAUAGUACACAUCUGGAAAAGAAUAACGAAAUAACAUUUAAGUCAUACAUACCUGUAGUGCUUCGUUUUAUGGUUUUGCAAGAUAGGGCAGUGAAAACUGUGCAUAGAGUAAGAACAAAUGACAAAUUGGAUGCUACUGCAGAUUCAGUGGAUAUAAAUAGCUUACACACAUUUACCGAUAAGAUAGCCAAACUUCGAAAUACGUAGCAAAUCGUAUUUCAUUGCAUCACUAGGAUAUUACCAAAAUGGCCGAUAUGCCUGAUUUAUCCCAUCUAACACAGGAGGAACGAGCUAUCAUUGAAAAUGUUAUGCUACGUCAACGUCAGGAGGAGGAGCGGGAGAAUGAGAUUAUGCGGAGAAAGCAGGAUGAGGUGGCGACGCUCGUUGAUUCAAUCAGGCAAAAAUCGGAGCAGCAGAAAAAGGCAGGAGUGGAACUGGACGCUACCUGUCAUAUUUGUCUCAAAACCAAAUUUGCGGAUGGCAUCGGGCACAUCUGCAAUUAUUGCAACAUCCGUUGUUGUGCCAAAUGCGGGGGCAAAGUUACGCUGCGUAACAAUAAGGUGAUAUGGGUAUGCAUCGUUUGUCGGAAGAAACAAGAACUGUUAUCGAAAACGGGCCAAUGGAUCAACAAAAGUACCAGUCCCGAUGGGACGCCGGGACGCCGAUACGAAGGAGAUCCGAGGGGAUAUCCGCAAACACUCGAUCCACACGAUCCCUCCGACAAACGACCAAAACUGGAGCGAGCGAAGAGUGCUGCUGAAAAAGAAAACAACCCGAUGCAACGUUCCGGUAGUCAGCUAAGGAGGCAGUAUUCACAACAAGAUCCACCACAACGACGAUUGUCACAAUCGGACAGUGGAGUGGAUAUAUCGACUGGUCCCUCGCAAGUUCGAUUACCGAUGCCGCGGAUGCACUCUCAAGGUGGCCAGCAGCAAGGUCCGUAUGGCCAGUACACGCAACACCCCGGUCUUCCCCAGCCUCCCUUGCAACAGUCACCAUACGGACAUCCUCAAUCGCACAUGAAUCCUCAAGUGCAGAUCACACGGCCCAGCGGAAACGUUGGGAUGUGUGGUUAUGCGCAAGAGGAUCCUAGUUAUUAUCAGGGUGAAAUUGAAGAUCUAAUGCGUGCUCAUCCGCAUUUGGUUCAUCCUCGGCAGCAGCAGCACUACGCAGAAUCAAUGCAAUCCGGAAGUAGCAGCGGGAUUGUGUUACCACCAGAACCAAUGAAAAAACACAAACGCCCUAUGGGUGGUCCUUAUCUGCCGCAGCAGCGGUCGUAUAGCAGUUCGGACGAAGAUAUUCGAUCUACGCCGGAGUAUGAAGCCGGGCACCAAAAACAGUAUUUUGAUAAUCACUCUCGACUGAAUCCAAGCCUAACCGAUUACCGGGCGAGUAAGCUGGAUGUACAACAAAGAAAUAGCUAUAAUCGAACGAACCAUAACCGGUACCAAAGCCAGCAGUCGCACUCGCAAUAUCAGCAACCACUACCACAGGUAGUGGUUGCCGACAGCACCAUUACGUCGUUGGCAUACGAUAACAAUAAUCAUCACCACAGUAGUAGUCAUCAUCAGCAUAGUCACCAGUCAGUGCCGGAGUCCCAUCAAGCUCAUAAUAGCCAAUAUCAGUUUAUUCAGCAGAACAGUCGAUAUAAUUCCAGUUCUGUUGGCAAUGAACAGCCGGACCCAUACUGGGAUGAUCCGGCCGACAGUCGACGAUUCACCGAACGGAGAAAGAAAACGGUGAGGUUCGAUGGACAGGACGCCGAUGACUGGGGACGAUGGGAGUCGGAAAGACAGGGCAGCCAGGAUUCAACGACGAAGGAUUCUGGUAUCGACACUAGCAGUACAUUUACUAGUAGUGAAGAUUCUAAUCGUGGUGAUGGCCCCAAGAAUCCUGUUAGUUGGCAAGUGUCAGCAGAUGGCAGCCGUAUGAUUGGUCAUAUGGUAUUGCAAAGAAAUGUAGACAGCGAAGACGUUUUAGGAUUGAGAGUACGAGGUGGUCAAGUUCUGCCCCACAACGAAAAGGGAGCUAUUGUUGAACAAGUGCAGCGAGGUUCGAUAGCAGACCAGGAAGGACACAUUAGGCCAGGUGAUGAAGUGGUGGAAUGGAAUGGCCACUCGAUGCGUGGGAAAUCCGCGUCGGACGUAUACGAUAUUAUAAGUGCUAGUAGACGGGAACCGUUGGUAGAAUUGCUCCUAACACGUGAGAUUGCGAUAAAUCGUAAAAACACUCAAGCAUCCUGGCGAAAAUCUCAUUCUCCAACGCGUAUUCAGACUCACCGUGGAGCAGAAAACUACAACCGCCGGGAUAAGCCCAGCGUGCUAGUCACAUCUCCCGGUUCACCAGACCUGCACAGUGUUCGGAAUUAUUCCACCAACCUUCGAUAUCCUAAUAGACUGACACCGGCUGCGACAGCGACGCAGCAAGAAAAUUGCGUUGGAGGACGGAUUCAGUUGAAGCUGGGCUUCGAUCCCAGUUCUCUGCAGCUGAUCGUGACAAUCGUGGGCGCCAAAGAUCUGGUUCCAAGGCUUAACGGUGCGGCACGAAAUCCAUACGCCAAAAUCUGCUUGCUUCCGGACCGCAGUGAAAAAUCCAAACGACGAACGAAAACGUUAGCUCUGACGAACGAGCCUCGCUGGGGUCAAACAUUCGUAUACGAAGGCCUUCGUAGAGCUGAUCUGCAAAAUCGCCUGUUCGAAAUCACUGUCUGGGACUACGUCCGCUAUGGUGCCAACGAUUUCCUCGGCGAAGUGAUUCUCGAUUUGUCCACGUACCCUUUGGACGACGAAGCAGAGUGGCACGUUCUGCAGCCGCAUUCGGAGUCUCUCCGAGAUGCAUUCCGUAGAGAGGAUAGAGAACCUGGCAACGAACUGGAUAUGAUUUUAUCCCCGAUCGAUCAUUUAUCGCCACCGAGCACCACUUCAAGGUGUACUGACUCUGACACGACCUCCGAAUGCGAUAUCGAUGGUCUGAUGACUGCCCGAGACGGUGCUAGCGUUUCAUCAUCAAGUCCUCCACCAGAGGUUGAUCUACAGGAGCGAAGGUCUCGACGGGAUAUGUCACCACAGGGACGUAAACGAGUGGCUAGUAUGGUAGCAAAAGACUAUCGAACGGUGUCGGGCGUAGGGCAGGGCUUUCACAAUCAAAUGACGAACGAGGCAUCCGCUUCCUAUCGUCGGAACGGCACGAUGGCACUGAACCAACGAAGUCAAUCGGCAGCACCGAGCGAUAGCUAUCGGGAUGACCGGCGGGAUUCUCUGUCGCCCCAAGAUGAUAGAUAUACCGAAUAUCCAGUUCUUCCAUUACAUCAGUAUGCGCCAAGAUUUCAAUCACGAUCAGCGACUGCGACACCAACUGGUUCACCGAAGAAACGACAAUUACCACAAGUACCUCACGUGUCACGAAAUGCAGCAAUGCGAGAACGGUUCGUACAGGAGUUUGAGGAGCGCAGUGGAGGACGUUUUUCCCGGUACCGACAUCGCCAAAGCCAUCAUCUGCCAACGUAUCGAAGUACGGGGAUGGGAGGAUGGGAACAACGCUAUACCGGACUAUCCGACAGCGAUCUGACGACACACUCAUUAGACAGUAGAAUUAGACCUAGACACUCGUUAUCUCCGGAUAAGGAUUUUAUGGGUGAUUUUGCUGACUCCGAUAUGGAGUCGGUAGUUAGUGUAACUUCAAGUGCUUUUUCAACUCAGUCGGAGCGACCGCGUGGAUCAAAAGGGAUAAGGAAUACGCGCGGUAGGCGUCUUCAGCAUAGAAGUCUCCCAUCGGGUUGGGCAACGACUUCUUUGUGUGCUCUUCCAAGCGAGUACCCAUUCGGGCAACCAGUCAGCGAGGCGGAACACGAAACAACACUUCCUGAUGUCGCUCAAGCUGGUCUAAAUCCUCCCAAUUUCGAUGUUGCUCCUGAUCAAGGCUUCAUACCCUCUAGAGAAUAUACCCCAAAACUACCUGAAACCCCUAUGUUACCUACUAUGGCCUCCACUUCCAGUGUUGUUGUUCCCUCGGCUACUGAAGAUAAUAGGCUUGUACCGAGUCCUGCUGUUCCAACCCUUGAGCAAUUUCCUCUCCCUGAGCCUGCAAGUAAUAGUUAUUUUAGCAAGCAAUGCAUUAUGCUUAAUUCAGAUCAGAGCACCAUUCAGAGCUGUAUUGUUAACCCUGGUAAUGAUAACAUGAUGACCACAUCUCUGAACCUUUCAAACAUGUCGUCAACGGAACCAACCUCUUUAGAGCUAAAAACUGGAUCGUUACCGCUUAGUAGCUACAUGCAGUACGGAAUCAAUCAAAUGUCCACAUCUCUACAAGGCGAUUCAUUUUAUAGCGAUCAGGCAUCAGCUGAUUAUGACACAAAUCGACGACCUUCAUACGCUGCUCGUUCAAAUACAUCAGAACCAAAUUUGAAUAGUAUGAACAAAGUUCGCCGCCGUAUGCCAAAAGAACCAAGAAACUCACGAAAUGAGUCGAUUUGUGUAUCCAAUCAUCGUGGACCUCACACUAAUCAAUCAAUCCCAACUGCUACAAAUCAGAUUAUACUAAAGUCUUCCUUCUCGGACCAGAAUUUGCCAAACAGUUUCACUUACGAACAAAAUAGUGGCCAAACUGGAAAUAUUUGUAUAUCUAAUGUGUACGAUCCAAAUACUGGAAUCAAGAAUCAAACAAUCACAUGCAUUCGAAACAGUAUGGAGAAUUUAGGAGAAAGUAACAUUCGCUAUUCUAGCACCCACGAUGGAUCGAUUUGUGAAUUUUCUGCUCCGCACCUACAAUUCCGUUCUUCAGUUGGAAGUAUUGAUUUGAAUGUUCCUCCAAGAAUGAUCGUAAACCAGUCUCACGAUAUUCGCCAGGAAGACGAAUAUCAUGUGGAUGACUUUGAAAACGAUCUGGGCGUGGUACUCAGGAAACCCACCGAAUAUCUCACAUAUCCACGUGAACAGCCAUUCUAUGGACACACCGAACUUGGAUUCAAAGAAACUUACUUGGGCAACACGAUUACUAAACAAAAAGACAAAUUUAAUCGCUCGCAAUCACUAGUCGCUAGCGAUCAUAUGAUAGACAUUGAAUAUGACUCAGAUACGGGUUACAAAACAAAAAGCGUUCGUAAAAAUAUGAUCGCCAGCAGUGUGGAAGAGAAAGUAUAUCACAAACGAACAAGAUCACUUGAUGGCCAUAAAGCACUGGAUGAAAAAUACACCGACAACAAUUCUGAUUCCAUUGGAUCCAGGUCAAGUUUGGAUAAAAGCAACAUGACUCUCGAUAUAAUUAGAAAUACUGAUGUGUCACAUGCCGAUAGCAAGGAUAAUGCAAAUAAUAGGAAAACCAACAGAAAAUCAACAGCGUCACCUGCAAAGAAAAAUUCCAAAAUGUCGAAAAAUACUUCCAGUUCCAAUUCGCUGAACCGAUCUGGCUCAGCUAAAUCUAAAGCGUCUUCCUCUAAAGGAUCCACAUCUAAAUCUAAGGCUGCGGAUAAACCAAAAUUUAAAGAAGUUGACCCAGUGCUUCAAAAAUCAAACAAACAAAGAACGGACAGCAAAAAUAGAGUGGAUGAAAUCAAAGGUGAAAUCGAUGUUCUGCACAGUAGCUCGGAGUCCAUUAAAUCGAUCAUUGACGAAGUGCGUCAUGAGUUAUUACAAAAGCCACAAAAUUUCACGUACUUGAGUGACGAAAGUCCGACAUUUUUAAACAGAAGUCAUUCCCUCAGCGACGGUGACUCAACUCACAACAGAAGAAUAAACGAAAAGUACGAUAAGUAUGAGUUUAUUGAAGGUCGGAAACACUAUAUCCUCAAAGAUGACAAUUUGAACCGUAAGGUGGAUUUAGGAAAGUACGAAAACGAAAAAGCGGUGGGAUAUACACGCUCCCAUUCAGUAGAUAAUAGGCGAGGUCAUUCGACUAAAGCAUCUGGAGACUUGUUUACAAAGUGUCGUACACGUAGUUCGAGUGUGGUGUCCAACGAUGAAGAUCGCUGCGAUGAAAACGAGGAUUACGUGUCCGAUGACGAUGUGUUUGAAAGUCCUUUUUCUAGAGGACGAAAUUCAUCAUUCAAUGGCAAAUCUUCCACCAAACGUAGAUCUCGGCUAGAUACCCGACGGACUUCCAGUUUGGAAGAUUUGAAAAAAUUUGCUUCUCAGCAUAAAGCUGGUAGCAGCAACAAAGGUAGCAAAAGUGAUAAUACCCGACAUAGUUCAGUCAGUAUUAAUGACAAGCCAGAGUACUUUGAAUACAGUAAAUCCCCUUCACCUCGCCCCAAGACUGACGCUAGAAAUGCUAAUUAUGCUUCCAAUCGUUCCAAAUCCUCCAAUGGUAUCGCCCUUCUGCAAACCGAACCAAAACGAACCUCAUUGAAAAAAAUCUCACCGGGUGGGCCCACGCCGCGAAAAUCCAAUCCCCACCAACACCACCACCACCAAAGUGAUUACGAUGUGAGAGACCGGGGUCGGUACGGCAACAACGGUGGACGGGAUGCGUAUCGGCAGCGUGAUCGUGACCGAAACAGUAGUGACCAUGAGCGGGACCGUCUCAGCGACGGUCGGCGAGAAUCGCGGGAGCGUGCUGAACUGGACCGAAGUCUUUCGAACAAUGAGGGAACGCCCGAGGAUAAAAUAGAUGGUAGCUUAAGCGACACGGCCGUGAUACAAAGUUUGGACUCGCGGCGUAAGCUAGACCAACGAUCGCCCAAGAGUGAGACCCCAACGAGGGAACGGGAUCUCUUCGGUCCCGGCAUGGGAAAGAAGAGUAGUUCCACGUCGCAACUGUCGGCAACAGACCAAGGGAUAUCGCCAUCAUCCUCGUCGUCUACAUCGCAACGCAAACGAUCCUCAGCGGGAUCGAUCCAACGGUCAGUCGAAGUGACACCGAUUCCAUCACAGUCGGGGGCCAAUCGUGCCGGAAGUUUACACUCAAUCUCUAGCUCCGAGGGCUCCUCAUGGUCGCCAUCGCUACGGAUGACCGGCGAUACUGGACCAUUGUCGGACUUCAUCGAGGGUUUGGGACCAGGACAGCUUGUUGGGCGCCAAGUGCUGGGCGCUCCUGCCUUAGGUGAUAUUCAACUGUCUAUGUACUAUCAGAAGGGUUCCUUAGAAGUUGAAGUGAUAAGAGCGAGAGGUUUGCAGGCUCGUCCUGGCUCAAAAGUACUUCCAGCGCCUUAUGUUAAAGUGUAUUUAGUUUCCGGUAAAAAGUGUAUAGAAAAAGCUAAAACAACGACUGCUAGGAAAACGUUAGAUCCAUUAUAUCAACAACAAUUAGUGUUUAGAGAACCGUUUGCUGGCUGCAUACUACAAGUGACGGUAUGGGGUGAUUACGGACGAAUGGAGGGCAAAAAAGUGUUCAUGGGUGUAGCUCAAAUAAUGCUGGACAACUUAAACCUAUCACAUUUAGUCAUCGGAUACUACAAACUGUUCGGAACCACAUCACUGGUCAGUGGACCACCUAGUUUGGGUCUAUCUAGGCGAUCCUCAAUUGCAUCACUCGAUUCACUUAAGCUGUAAAACUCAUUGACAUCACUAUGUUUAAUUUUCUCCUUCGGCAUUGUUUUGGUUUUCAACUUUUGUUUGGUUCAGAACUGUAUCACUUUUGUUCUUGGUUCGUACUAUGAGAUGGUUUGAUGUUGUUGGUUUUUGAUACGAACUGAAGUUUUGUCUAGCGGCAGUCAUCUUAGUGACCACAAUCCGACUUAGAUUGAAACACGAAAGCUGAUGCAACAGUUUUGUCCUAGCGUUUCUACGAAUUGUGAAUAUCUUCUUUGUUGUCCAGUUUUUCGAUAUAGCCUUGCAAUAGUUUACACUCUAGCUAAUAGUAUCUGUUCGAGCACGAUCUUCUCGAGAUGAAGCUUAAACCACCCUAGACUCCUGAAAGGAUGCCACUAUUCUGCUGGUUUUCAACGGAUUGCGAGAGGGAUCAGCAAAGAUUCUAUCUAGGUUCGUGAAAGUUCGUUAUUCAUUCAUACUUACAUACCGGUUUUGCUUUUUCCGACGUUUCAGUAACUUUUGGUAUGUAACUGAUUUGCCAGACUUUAUUGAGUACUUUGUAUUGAAAUAAAAAAAAAAUAGUAUUAUCAUCAUUUAUUAUAGUUUUGAAACAUGCAAGUGACAUUUCUUAUUAUAAAUAACGCUGAUUCCACCAUGGAGUAUGAAAGCAACUUCGCUCGCAUUCCUUCUACAAUUCUCUUCAGCUUACUCGCAUAUUUCUCAGUGCAAUCUAUAAAUGCAGCAGUAAAAAUGCUCAAAGUACGAUCUUGUCUUGUUCAAUCCUUAUUUACCACAUUUCAAUCACCUGGUUUUGUUAGUUCCAAUUCUUCUUUAGAAAUCCUUUUUCAAAUCAGUUGAAAAAACUGAUCUCCCAAUUGUGGCUUCCUUUUCCGUUUGUUUGAUUUGUUUAGACUCCUUACUUGUUACUUCUGUUCCAUAGAGGCAGUGUCGAAAGCACUUUUAAAAUAGUGUGUUUUGUCAAAUCCGAUCGAUGGAAUAAUAGAAAGUUUCCUAAAAUCUGUACAAUGAAAUCUUACAAAAAAUAUAUAGCGCUAAAAGUGUUUUAGUUAAUCAUAGUAAAAGUAACCUUGAUAAACCUCAACAUAAGUUUCAUCGGCGUACCUACUAUCUGGUUUACCAAAUCCACAUCCUUAUUUUUCGUACAAUCCAAGCCACGACAGUUAGUUCUAGGAAGCCAAAUACCGACCGUAACGGCAACAUGUUCCAGUAUAGGAGACUAGACUAAAACAAAUUAACAAAUUCAGCCCGUGAGAUGACGCGAUACGCAACCAAAUAAAAAAAAAGUGAAAACCACAUUCACACACGAGCACGGAGAGCGAGAGCAAUUUUCAGAUUUUUCGCGUAUUUAUUAAAAAAAAGCAAAAGUACAUCUAAGGAAAAAUGAAACUCAAAUCUGUGAAUUUAUUAAAACUAAUAUUAAAAGAAAAAAAAAAACAGUAAUGAUACAAAUCAUCAAAAUGCAGCAUCAGACGAUUCAUAACAAGGUGAAUAACUACUUUGUUUAAAAAAUGAACAAAUAAUCAAGCCUUCCAUUACAUUUAUGAAACAAGGAACAUUUAAUUAUCAAUUAUCAAUUCAACAAAACUAAAUUUUUGACAUUUGAUAAUCCCAGCAUAUGGUCCUAGACAAACUACAUCAUUCCUAUUCGUUUUACUUUUGAAUUGUAGAUUCAGCCAGAACUAUCGUAUCGUAAAACAUAUUCGUUCCCUCUCAAAUAAUUUUCGCCAAAUUAACAUGCAUUUUCAUGUAAUUUCUCUUUCCUACUUCACAUAAAAUCUCAUAAGACUAUAGGAAAAAUAAAACAAACAAAGCGACCGCCACUUAGUGUACAGCUGGUAUGGAACAGGAAAACAUUUUUUUUCAUAGAGAAAAAAGUUAAGCGUAACUCAUUGAAAAAAGCAAAUUUGUAAAUUUACUUAAACAUAAUAGGCAGAACCGAUCGCGGAAACAUCUUGUAAAUAUAAAGUAAAAUCAAAGAAAACUACACAGAAAAACGGGACGUGAGCAACGAAUACGUAAGGUUGCAUCCUUGCACUCGUUCCAUACAAAAAAAAAAUCAAGACAGGAGUUGAAGCGAUGUAUAAAUUAAACAAAUAAAAUCAACAUAAGUUUUGCCUUAGACUCCUACCAAAUUACGCGAAACCGUUGUCAUGGCCUCAGAAGAACCGCAAUUCGGAAACAUUUUGUCUCGAAGAGAUUCAAUGCUGCUGCUUAUUGUUCCUUACCAAUGUUACUCUUUUUUCCCCGAAACAGCAUGUCUUUACAUCACUGAUUACUUGUAUUUACUUUUUUUUUAUGAUUGACGUGGCUUUUCAUCGAACGUCAUAUAAGUUUGCAAUGUAGUAAACAGUUGAAUCUCUACAUGUUACUUAGCAAACAAGUAAUAUUCAUUUAUUCACCAUUUUGUUGUUAAUUAGUUAGCAGCAAUUGUAUGAGAGCUGAAUCGUCGAGGCAAUCUGUUGUGAAAUGUAAUAAUGCCAUGUAUGAGAAAUAAAAUCUUAUGCAUCAAUCAGAGACAAAAAACCAUUUCCAUAUAAAUACUAAACCAGCACAUGCCGGUGGUUGGGAUCAUGGCAUGGUACAAUUCUGCAGAGGUAUUGACGUCUUUACCUUCACAGAGCUUCGUAAUGUUGAGCAAGCAAAAGUGAGCCGGAACGCAUUUCAUGGAAGCGAAACAAAACCUUAAAAAUAAAAUAUUUAUCUUUAACGAAAAAAAAACAAGCCAAAACCAUAUCUUUAAUAUAAGAAACUUUAAUGAUUAAUUGACAUAAAAAUAAACAAGAGCAACACAAAAAACAGGUUAUGCGAAUGUUUCAUUUGACUUAUUAUCAUUAAAGAACGCGCUUCUUGGGAAUUGACACUAAAUUUCAUUACUAGCAACAAAAAUGGCAUAAAGGCAGGAAAUAAGGAGAUGAUACAAAGUACAUAUUUUUAUAAUCCCCCUACAUUGUGGACAAUGGAAGAUGAAAGUAAAAUCAAAACAGUUCAUCUAGCAGCAAACAAAACCUAAGGAAUAUGGGAUUAAUGACGUCAAAGAAAACAGUGAUCGACAUUCCGUUUGCGUUGCAGAGAAGUUUGAAGCAAACUGCUGACGAAGCCUUUAAGUACGACUUUAUUUUAUGAGAGAAAGAAGACAUCUCAAACAAACACAUGUUCAGCAGCUUAUGCCGUGUUAACGAAGGUCAUAUCACCGAAGCACUAUCCCAUGGUUUUUGUUUGGAACAAUCACUUAGCAGGACUAGAUGAAGCGUUUUGUUCCAUUCGUUCUAGAGGUUUAUCUGACUGAAGUAUGGAUUAGUUGAUUUUAUCAGAUUUUAAAAAAUGUUGAAGUAGUUUGCUUAUUGGUUUACAGGUGACUAGUUUAAUAGCAAAUCCAAUAAUUUCCCAAUCAAAUUACACUGUUCAAUCGGUUGCAUGAUACAAUCCCUCAAACAAAAUAAAGAAAAUAGAUAUUAGGGCCAUCUUCUGAACUGGAAACAUGACUUAUUUGCGUCGGACUUUUCGCAUAUAUGAAUUAGAACAACGAAGUUUCACUUUCUGCUUUUCAGGUGGUAACAAAUAAGACACAUAGAAAUUGUAAAUUGACUUCUGCAGUUCUGCAGUUGUAAUAAUGACCAAUGUAAUAAAGAAAUAAUCAAGAUCCCAUGCUACAUAUGAGUGUUACCCAAUUGGACUACUCUUGAACUUUAAUUGUGCGCAUCUCUGAUCCGUCCAUUGACUCUCGCAAAUGCUAGUAAAACACUUCUGAAAAUCGAUUCCCCAUUUACCAAUUAUAAGCUAAACUCACCUCCCGAUGACUUUUAUGCAAUUGCUUCAAAGGUAUGGCGCACAUAUUGGAGCUUGUUUACUAUUUAUUUCACCGUGCUUAUUGCUUUAAUAUACAUUUCAAUCGAAGAUUUCAUUAGAAUAUAGCCCCUGACGACGAGAGGUGCACGCUUGGAAAAGAAUCGAAAAGAUGAAUGAAAACCUAUUAUUUUUGGUGCGAUUAUGUGAAUCUUAAAAACAGUACUAAAAUACGGAUAACAAAUGGCCUACUAAAAGUAGUUAUUUUAGUUUUAAAUCCUAGCGAUAAAUAAAUUUUCCUAUGUAGUUUGGAAUUUUGCACUGAUAGGGAUGAACGAACCAAUCGCCAAUACAACACAACUUGAUUGCUUUGAAGUAAUUUCUGUUUUGCAAACUCUAUGUAUUGAAUUAACACGUUUAACAAUCAGAUUUACUCAUUUUUCUUCCAAUAUGAUUGAACAUGUUGCAAUCAAAUUGGUUAGAUUCUUCACUUUUCAACGAUCAUUACAAAUCAACUGUCACAUAAAGCCAUGAUCUUCUUACUGCAUACUUCAAGUAACUUAAGAAUCAAUACACUCAUUAAUUUUGUUACUUACAGUACUAUUUUCAAAAGUACGGUUCGAUGGAGAUCAUACAAAAUUAGAAGGAUACAAGAAAUGAUUUGGAAAGGCAUGUGUGGUUAUGAAGGAAUGGAAAUAAUUGUGUACAUUGUGAAAUAAUGAGUUUUAAUUAUUUUAUAAAACAGAAGUACUAGUAAGCAAACUAUUCAGAAAAAGUGGUGAACCAGAGAAAAGCGAGAAAGGAGACAGACAACCAAAAUAUAUUAAUUUGAAGAAAAUUAAUUUAUACACAUAUAAACAUGAUCAAAGGGAAUGGAAGGAAAAAAAAACGAUUACUAAGUAAAUUAAUAAGAAAUCUAGGGUCAAGAACAAUAGUGCGUCAAAGGAAACAAAAAAGAAAAUGAACAUGAUUCAAAAGAGUAUUGUAAAUUAAAAAUUUCUAUUAUUAUUACCAUAUAUAAAUAUACUGAAAAUAUAUAUUAAAAAUGUAUCCCCUCUCGGCUAAGGAAAUGUCGAGAAACGACAAUAAAACUGUGAAAAUUGAAAAAAACUAAA